GGGAAACUGAGGAUAAUACUGGAUAGGCAAUUUUUCCUGUAAUGGUUUUUUGUUUAAAUGUUUUUUCGCCUAAGGAUGGGUCUGCGGCCGAUUAGGUAGUUGGUUAGGUAAUGGCUUACCAAGCCGUUGAUCGGUACGGGUUGUGAGAGCAAGAGCCCGGAGAUGGAACCUGAGACAAGGUUCCAGGCCCUACGGGGUGCAGCAGGCGCGAAACCUCCGCAAUGUGAGAAAUCGCGACGGGGGGAUCCCAAGUGCCAUUCUUAACGGGAUGGCUUUUCAUUAGUGUAAAGAGCUUUUGGAAUAAGAGCUGGGCAAGACCGGUGCCAGCCGCCGCGGUAACACCGGCAGCUCUAGUGGUAACAAUUUUUAUUGGGCCUAAAGCGUCCGUAGCCGGUUUAAUAAGUCUCUGGUGAAAUCCUGUAGCUUAACUGUGGGAAUUGCUGGAGAUACUAUUAGACUUGAGACCGGGAGAGGUUAGAGGUACUCCCAGGGUAGAGGUGAAAUUCUGUAAUCCUGGGAGGACCGCCUGUUGCGAAGGCGUCUAACUGGAACGGUUCUGACGGUGAGGGACGAAAGUUAGGGGCGCGAACCGGAUUAGAUACCCGGGUAGUCCUAACUGUAAACGAUGCGGACUUGGUGUUGGGGUGGCUUUGAGCUGCUUCAGUGCCGAAGGGAAGCUGUUAAGUCCGCCGCCUGGGAAGUACGGUCGCAAGACUGAAACUUAA
rnacentral:rRNA from 1 species